rnacentral:rRNA from 1 species
CAAGAGCGUAUAUUAAAGUUGCUGCGGUUAAAAAGCUCGUAGUUGGAUUUCAGUCUAGGAAGGUUAACUCGCCGAACGGUUGUACGUUGAUUUUCCUCAGACUUCGUCAGAAGCUCGUGCUGCACUUAACUGUGUGGUACGAUGUUCUGACCUUUUACCUUGAGGAAAGUAGAGUGUUUCAGGCAGGCUACCCAGCUUGAAUACAUUAGCAUGGAAUAAUGAAAUGGAUCUCGGUUCGAUUUCGUUGGUUCUAGAGCUGAGGUGAUGAUCAAUAGGAACAGGCGAAGGUAUUCGUACUUGAGAGUGAGGAGUGAAAUCCGAUGAUCUCUUAAAGACGAUCCGAGGCGAAAGCAUUUGUCAAGGAUGUUUUCAUUGA